rnacentral:lncRNA from 1 species
AAUUAAAAGUCAGAAAAGACGUGCCGAGUGGCGGAUUUUCUUUUUCUGACGCAAAUCACGAUUUGUUGUGUGGAAGGGCUGGCACCACGGCCCUUCUGGCGGGGGUUAUUAUAGAACUGCUGGAGAGCCGAUGAGUGGAACGAGUAUUCAGUUUUGCAUUUUUAACUGUGACAACGUUUUUUUCGUGGCCAAUACCAUGCCAAGUGCAUUUCCUGUUGUGGGAUCCUGCGUGCAUUCGAGAGGCCAGCAUUCGUACUCAAGCCCUACAGAUACCGUGUUCACUUCAGUAAUUGUGGGAAUGCCUCUUUCUGAGGAUCAUUUAGGGGAAACCUGAUCGAAAUAGUUAGCGUGACGGUCGUUUUCCCUGCUUGGAGUUGUCAAAUAGGCGUUUUUGUCUCUUGUAAGUAGGUAAAUGGAGUGCUACACAAUCACCCUGAUCAAAGACCCCAAGAUAGCGCCGACACCAGCAUGACUGACAUACAAAUGAGAAGUGGUGAUAGACUGGCAGCUCACGAGGCUUGAUAGCACGACCGUAAGUAUACAGUAAACAGUCCCAGCAGUAGCAGCAAAGCUCGCGCAUUACAGCUGAGGGUAAACGAUUGUUCCUAACUGAAUCCUGUUCAGUAACAAGGAGGUAAUACAACAAGCAUGAAGAACUUGGUUGUCUGUAUUUCCCGGUUUUCGGAGUCGACGUGGAGGUGCUGGCGCGGGACUCGGGCUAGAACUCUUCAUGUUUUGUGCCCUGUCCUCGCCGGAGUACCUCACGACCUCUAUACACUUUCUUUGAAAACUGGAUUCGCUAUCCUUUUAAGUCACAGAUGCGAGUUCGAACCUUGCUGGCGAUUCUACCGAUGAACUACAUCAGCACAAGCAUUUUUCCUCGAGUAAAAAGUCCAAGGUACGGCUUUGUGAUAUGUAGCUCCGCUCAUGGAAAUCAGAAGAACCUUCCCUGGUCGUAUUCAUGAAGACUUAUAGAACAACAUUCUUCCUUAUAGACGAUCCGCCGCCCUCGGCAGAACAGCAGUACGAC